rnacentral:rRNA from 1 species
CCUACGGGGGGCAGCAGUGGGGAAUAUUGCACAAUGGGGGAAACCCUGAUGCAGCAACGCCGCGUGAGUGAUGACGGCCUUCGGGUUGUAAAGCUCUGUCUUCAGGGACGAUAAUGACGGUACCUGAGGAGGAAGCCACGGCUAACUACGUGCCAGCAGCCGCGGUAAUACGUAGGUGGCGAGCGUUGUCCGGAUUUACUGGGCGUAAAGGGAGCGUAGGCGGACUUUUAAGUGAGAUGUGAAAUACUCGGGCUCAACUUGAGUGCUGCAUUUCAAACUGGAAGUCUAGAGUGCAGGAGAGGAGA